rnacentral:rRNA from 1 species
UACGAAGGGGGCUAGCGUUACUCGGAAUUACUGGGCGUAAAGGGCGCGUAGGCGGCGCUCCAAGUUAGGCGUGAAAGUCCUGGGCUCAACCUGGGAACUGCGCUUGAUACUGGAGUGCUUGAGGAUGGAAGAGGGUCGUGGAAUUCCCAGUGUAGAGGUGAAAUUCGUAGAUAUUGGGAAGAACACCGGUGGCGAAGGCGGCGACCUGGUCCAUUACUGACGCUGAGGCGCGACAGCGUGGGGAGCAAACAGG